AGAGUUUGAUCAUGGCUCAGAUUGAACGCUGGCGGCAUGCUUUACACAUGCAAGUCGAACGGUAACAUAAGAAAGCUUGCUUUCUUGAUGACGAGUGGCGAACGGGUGAGUAAUACAUCGGAACGUACCCUGUAGUGGGGGAUAACUACUCGAAAGAGUGGCUAAUACCGCAUACAACCUGAGGGUAAAAGUGGGGGACCGCAAGGCCUCACGCUAUAGGAGCGGCCGAUGGAAGAUUAGGUAGUUGGUGGGGUAAAGGCCUACCAAGCCGACGAUCUUUAGCGGGUCUGAGAGGACGAUCCGCCACACUGGGACUGAGACACGGCCCAGACUCCUACGGGAGGCAGCAGUGGGGAAUUUUGGACAAUGGGCGAAAGCCUGAUCCAGCAAUGCCGCGUGAGUGAAGAAGGCCUUCGGGUUGUAAAGCUCUUUUGUUGGGAAGAAAUCCUUAAGGCUAAUAUCCUUGGGGAUGACGGUACCAAAAGAAUAAGCACCGGCUAACUACGUG
rnacentral:rRNA from 1 species